UAAAAUUUCUAAAUAAAAUUUAAUACAUUUAAAUAUUUUAAAUAAAUAACUCAUUACAAAUUGUGAUUUUAUUUGUUGUGAAGAGGAUUUACUAAUUUUUCACAUACAUCAGUGCUUGAGCCUACCCAAUAAACAUUCAGAUGACUUUUGGAGGACUUGUAAGUUAUCUUUUUUAAGAGCUCUUUAAGAUGUCUAUAAAGUUGUCAAUUUGACAUCUUUUUGACGUCUUGCAUGCAAAACUUAACUUUUUAAUCACCUUUGAAAGAUGACUUUUUUGACGUAUUGAGAAGUGAUAUUUAAAGACAUCUUUUGUAAGUUGUCUUCAAGUUGUCCAAUUACAGAACUUUAAGACAUCAAUUAGAGAACUUUGCUAACUCGAGUGAGUUUUUCGAACGCAGCUCGAGAGAGGGUACUGCACAACAUAACCUAGAAAAAAUAAGAUAUAAAAUUAGAUAUAAAAUUGCAGUCAUUGAGUGUUAAGUAUCGACAGUUAUUGUAUAUACGUGGGAUAUUAAUUUAAUAAUAAUUAUGUUGAAAAGAAAAGGUGUCGAAAACUGCAUGAAAAAACAUAUCAAAAAGAUUAAUAACUUAUAUCACGCAAAAGUUUUCUACUACGGAUGAAAUAGUGAGAAAACGAAUACAACUUUGGCUGCAAAAGUAUGGUGAUCGUAUAAAUUAAGCUCAGGAAUGAACAGUAUGACCCAACAAUGAAAAGUUAUUUUUUAUUAAAAUAUUUACUGUUUUAAAUGUGAUAUUCUUGACAAAAUUAUUUUGUUUAAUACGCUUAUAAUUUUCUAAAUGUGAUGUUUUUGUAAUGUGUAGACAUAGUAAAUAUUGAAUAUACGUGCAAAAGUGUAACCGC